UACGUAGGGGGGCAAGCGUUGUCCGGAAUCAUUGGGCGUAAAGAGCGUGUAGGCGGCCCGGUAAGUCCGCUGUGAAAAGUCCAGGGCUCAACCCUGGGAUGCCGGUGGAUACUGUCGGGCUCGAGUCCGGAAGAGGAGUGUGGAAUUCCUGGUGUAGCGGUGAAAUGCGCAGAUAUCAGGAGGACACCAAUGGCGAAGGCAGCACUCUGGGACGUGACUGACGGCUGAGACGCGAAAGCGUGGGGAGCAAACAGG
rnacentral:rRNA from 1 species